GUUUGAAUUAGAUAAUGGCAAGCUAUUUAUUCAAAUCAAAUGGUAUAAUCAUAAUUUAAUUUAAUUGUAUAGCAAACUAUUGCUAUUUUGUCUUUCCUGUUGAAUCUCGCUCGACACUCUCGUUCUCUCUUUCGCCUCUCUCGUUUUUUGUUUGUAUAAAGAGAGACAAAAUUAUAUAUACACAUAUAUUUUCGUUCUCAUCUCUCCCGUCUCACAAAUCUCGCACGCCACUCUCCCAGAUCUUGC
rnacentral:misc_RNA from 1 species